GUCCACGCCGUAAACGAUGAGUACUAGUUGUAAUGGGAAUAAACCCCUGUUGUAACGUAAGCAAACGCAUUAAGUACUCCGCCUGGGAAGUACGGUCGCAAGACUAAAACUCAAAGGAAUUGACGGGGGCCCGCACAAGCGGUGGAUUAUGUGGUUUAAUUCGAAACAACGCGCAAAACCUUACCUGGGUUUGAAAUCCCGAGAAUCUCUGCAAAACAGGGAGUGCCCGCAAGGGAAUUCGGUGACAGGCGCUGCAUGGCUGUCGU
rnacentral:rRNA from 1 species